rnacentral:lncRNA from 1 species
AUGAAGUUUUCUAAGCAUGUAUGUGUUUUCACUUUAUUUUGUUGGAUUUUUGUAUUCUUACGAGUACUGCUUGGUGACAAAACCGUGUACAUAUUCCUAGCUUUUUCCUAACUAUAACAUUUACCUUCAUUUGUUGUUAAAUACACUUGGUGCAGAUAACUUACAUAAGGAUAGUGGUCAGCCACAAUAUUUUGGAAUAUCAUCUUCCUUUUAGAAACAGGUCUACGCGAACUUUCAUUGACAACAUUUGCAUAUAUAUAUAUAUAUAUAUAUUCAUUCACACUAUCCAUCUCCUAGUUUGUGUAGCAUAAAUGCUUCUUGGGUGUUUUAGUCUACCAUUUUAUUUUGAUGCACAUGCAAAAAAAUUAUCUACUAAAUGAUGAACACACAUGUAAAAUAUUUAUCAAUUUCAAUAACUAAUUAUUUCUGAGAUGGAGGACAAUAACUACUGUGAACCCCUAAUGAGUCAACACCGAUGAGCCAUCUCCUCAACGACUGGACCACAUUAUGAGGACACCUUUGUUACCUAUGUAUGGAUACAAGAAGGGGCUCACUAAUCUCCAGCAGCGGCUACUUAGUACCCUAGUGUUCCAAUCUUAGUUUACCAUACUAGAUCUCAACAUUCUAGUGUCCCAAUCUUAGUUCAACAUAUUAGAUCUGAUCAUUUAAGAGAUGGAGAACACCAUUUCAAAGGGCAUCAAGUCUCGUCACCAGCUUUCAUAUGCCCACAUGAUCUCUUAUCGAUGAGAGAGCUGGAUAGAUAGAGUAUUCGGUCGAUUCAUGAGCUAGAUGAGUCACCUACUCCAUUCUUGAUGUACAAAUUGACCUCUAUUGUGGAUGGUCUGUAAAGC